rnacentral:rRNA from 1 species
UAGUCGGAGGUGUGUCUCGGACGGUCGGUUCGCCGCUUGCCGGUGCUCAACUGGCCGGUCCGGACGUCCUGCCGGUGGAGCCGCGAGGCUCCGUUAUCCUUCUUUGGUCCUCUUCACCGAGUGCCUUGGUGGGCCGGCACGUUUACUUUGAACAAAUUAGAGUGCUCAAAGCAGGCCGUUGGUCGCCUGAAUACUGUGUGCAUGGAAUAAUGGAAUAGGACCUCGGUUCCAUUUUGUUGGUUUUCAGAACUCGAGGUAAUGAUUAAUAGGGACGGACGGGGGCAUUCGUAUUGCGACGUUAGAGGUGAAAUUCUUGGAUCGUCGCAAGACGAACCGAUGCGAAAGCAUUUGCCAAGAACGUUUUCGUUGAUCAAGAACGAAAGUUAGAGGUUCGAAGGCGAUCAGAUACCGCCCUAGUUCUAACCAUAAACGAUGCCAGCUAGCCAUCCGCCGAAGUUCCUUCUAUGACUCGGCGGGCAGCUUCCGGGAAACCAAAGCUCUUGGGUUCCGGGGGAAGUAU